rnacentral:rRNA from 1 species
GACGAACGCUGGCGGCGUGCCUAAUACAUGCAAGUAGAACGCUGAAGAGAGGAGCUUGCUCUUCUUGGAUGAGUUGCGAACGGGUGAGUAACGCGUAGGUAACCUGCCUUGUAGCGGGGGAUAACUAUUGGAAACGAUAGCUAAUACCGCAUAACAAUGGAUGACACAUGUCAUUUAUUUGAAAGGGGCAAUUGCUCCACUACAAGAUGGACCUGCGUUGUAUUAGCUAGUAGGUGAGGUAACGGCUCACCUAGGCGACGAUACAUAGCCGACCUGAGAGGGUGAUCGGCCACACUGGGACUGAGACACGGCCCAGACUCCUACGGGAGGCAGCAGUAGGGAAUCUUCGGCAAUGGGGGCAACCCUGACCGAGCAACGCCGCGUGAGUGAAGAAGGUUUUCGGAUCGUAAAGCUCUGUUGUAAGUCAAGAACGAGUGUGAGAGUGGAAAGUUCACACUGUGACGGUAGCUUACCAGAAAGGGACGGCUAACUACGUGCCAGCAGCCGCGGAAAUACGUAGGUCCCGAGCGUUGUCCGGAUUUAUUGGGCGUACAGCGAGCCCAGGCGGUUUGAUAAGUCUGAAGUUAAAGGCUGUGGCUCAACCAUAGUUCGCUUUGGAAACUGUCCAACUUGAAUGCAAAAGGGGAAAAGGGAAUUCCAUGUGUAGCGGUGAAAUGCGUAGAUAUAUGGAGGAACACCGGUGGCGAAAGCGGCUCUCUGGUCUGUAACUGACGCUGAGGCUCGAAAGCGUGGGGAGCGAACAGGAUUAGAUACCCUGGUAGUCCACGCCGUAAACGAUGAGUGCUAGGUGUUGGAUCCUUUCCGGGAUUCAGUGCCGCAGCUAACGCAUUAAGCACUCCGCCUGGGGAGUACGACCGCAAGGUUGAAACUCAAAGGAAUUGACGGGGGCCCGCACAAGCGGUGGAGCAUGUGGUUUAAUUCGAAGCAACGCGAAGAACCUUACCAGGUCUUGACAUCCCGAUGCUAUUUCUAGAGAUAGAAAGUUACUUCGGUACAUCGGUGACAGGUGGUGCAUGGUUGUCGUCAGCUCGUGUCGUGAGAUGUUGGGUUAAGUCCCGCAACGAGCGCAACCCCUAUUGUUAGUUGCCAUCAUUCAGUUGGGCACUCUAGCGAGACUGCCGGUAAUAAACCGGAGGAAGGUGGGGAUGACGUCAAAUCAUCAUGCCCCUUAUGACCUGGGCUACACACGUGCUACAAUGGUUGGUACAACGAGUUGCGAGUCGGUGACGGCAAGCUAAUCUCUUAAAGCCAAUCUCAGUUCGGAUUGUAGGCUGCAACUCGCCUACAUGAAGUCGGAAUCGCUAGUAAUCGCGGAUCAGCACGCCGCGGUGAAUACGUUCCCGGGCCU